rnacentral:tRNA from 1 species
UUCCUGGUGGCUCAGAUGGUAAAGAAUCUGCCUGCAAUGCAGGAGACCCGGGUUCGAUCCCUGGGUAAGAAA